AUUGAACGCUGGCGGCAGGCCUAACACAUGCAAGUCGAACGGCAGCACAGAAGAGCUUGCUCUUUGGGUGGCGAGUGGCGGACGGGUGAGUAAUGUCUGGGAAACUGCCCGAUGGAGGGGGAUAACUACUGGAAACGGUAGCUAAUACCGCAUAACGUCGCGAGACCAAAGUGGGGGACCUUCGGGCCUCACACCAUCGGAUGUGCCCAGAUGGGAUAGCUAGUAGGUGGGGUAAUGGCUCACCUAGGCGACGAUCCCUAGCUGGUCUGGGCGGAUGACCAGCCACACUGGAACUGAGACACGGUCCAGACUCCUACGGGAGGCAGCAGUGGGGAAUAUUGCACAAUGGGCGCAAGCCUGAUGCAGCCAUGCCGCGUGUAUGAAGAAGGCCUUCGGGUCGUAAAGUACUUUCAGCGGGGAGGAAGGCGGUGAGGUUAAUAACCUCGCCGAUUGACGUUACCCGCAGAAGAAGCACCGGCUAACUCCGUGCCAGCCGCCGCCGUAA
rnacentral:rRNA from 1 species